rnacentral:ncRNA from 2 species
CAAGGUCUUGGUCUUAAACCUCUUAUUACUUUAACCCCUAAUUAUACAUGCAAGACUCACCAUAACAGUGAAACAGCCCUCCCCAACAGGCCAGGAGCAGGCAUCAGGCACUAGCCCAAAACGCCAAGCAACAAUUUAAGCCACACCCCCACGGGUAAACAGCAGUAGUUAGUAUUAGGCCAUAAGCGAAAGCUUGACCUAGCAAGGGGUGUCUUUCAAGGGCCGGUUAAUCUCGUGCCAGCGACCGCGGUUACACGACAGACCCAAAAUAAUAUUCCCGGCGUAAAGCACAACUAAAUCACUAGUUCACCCCUUAAAGAUGAAGCCCAGCUAGGCUGUAAAAAGCCAUAAGCCACACUAACCCCUUUAAGAACACACAACUUUAACUUGUGAAAGUCAGGACACAAACUAAGAUUAGAUACCCUACUAUGCCUGACCCCAACAUGGCAAUUAAAUAACCAAUUGCCCGCCAAAUAACUACGAGUAAAAACUUAAAAUUUAAAAGACUUGACGGUACCUCAAAACAACCUAGAGGAGCCUGUCUAAUAACCGAUACCCCACGAUCAACCCGACCCUUUCUAGCCAACAGUCUAUAUACCGCCGUCGCCAGCUUACCUUAUGAAAGAAACAAAGUGAGCCUAAUAGUCCAACACUAACACGACAGGUCGAGGUGUAACUCAUGAACGGGCUCAGAUGGGCUACAUUUUCUAACCCAGAAAAUACGAAUAACCUAUGAAACUAGAAACUGAAGGCGGAUUUAGCAGUAAGCUAAGAACAAAAUACUUAGCUGAAAUAAGCGCAAUGAGGUGCGUACACACCGCCCGUCAUCCCUGUCAAAACACAAUAAAACUACAUAAAAAUUAAUACCACCCAAAACAGGGCAAGUCGUAACAUGGUAAGUGUACUGGAAAGUGUACUUAGAAA